GACGAACGCUGGCGGCGUGCUUAACACAUGCAAGUCGAACGGGCCUUGUCCCCUUUUUUUUUGGGGGUGGGGUUAGUGGCGAACGGGUGAGUAACACGUGAGUAACCUGCCCCUCACUUCUGGAUAGCCGCUUGAAAGGGUGGCUAAUACGGGGUGUUCUGGCCUGCUCGCAUGGGUGGGUUUGGAAAGAUUCGACCGGUUUUGGUUGUUUUGGUGGGGGAUGGGCUCGCGGCCUAUCAGCUUGUUGGUGGGGUGAUGGCCUGCCAAGGCUUUGACGGGUAGCCGGCCUGAGAGGGUGGGCGGUCACACUGGGACUGAGACACGGCCCAGACUCCUACGGGAGGCAGCAGUGGGGAAUAUUGCACAAUGGGCGCAAGCCUGAUGCAGCGACGCCGCGUGAGGGAUGGAGGCCUUCGGGUUGUGAACCUCUUUCGCCAGUGAAGAAGGUCCUGCUCUUUGUGGUGGGGUUGACGGUAGCGGGGUUAAUGAAGCGCCGGCUAACUACGUG
rnacentral:rRNA from 1 species